UCAUCCCUGCUGAAAUCCAAAUGCUUCAUUUCCCUUCUUUGCAAAUCCCUAACCCUAUCUCGUCUCUCACAGCAUCCAUUCUAUCUCAUCUAUGGCUUGGGCUUUCUAGAUCUCACAUGUUCAUUGAGAGGGCUUCUGCCUUCCGGUUUCUUUGCCACUCGCCGCUGGUUGCCUCCCUCUUACAUCUUUAUCCCAUUUCUAUAUUUGUCUAUUGCUUUCACCGUGUCAGUCCGAAUGUGUGUGGAAUUUUACCGCUCGCAGAUUAAGAAAAGUUCAACAUAAAAGUAAGUUAUCCAAUGUAUGCUUACUACUAACUAAGAGAAAAAGAAAUCAUGUGCUAAGAAACAUUUGAGUUGAAUUUAUGUGGAAGUUUUUCGGAGAUAAUCGGUGUCUGCAAAGAAAUUGGUAUCAUUUGGGGCAUCAGUUGUUCUAUUUGUGAUGAGUGAUGGGGCUUAAGUGUUUAGUUGAUUUUGGAGGUCUAGUUGCUGGAACUAUUGCCCCCCUUUAUGUUGAAUUUCCUCUGAUGUAUUCGAUAAUUUUUUUUUUUUUUUAAAGUUCCAUAAAUUCUCAACCUUCUUUCCCUCACAAUUGUCUCUUUUGCAUUUUUCUUUUUGGUUUCUUUUAUUCACAUAUUUAUAAUUUUGUUCCAGGAUGUAAUAAUUUCCAUCAUAAAUUAAUUUACCCGUACUUCUAUUUCAGAUAGGAAGUUCUUAACAUCUAAGCUGAUUGUUCCUUUAUAAUGAAAACUCUAAGCUGAUUGUUCCAACAGCAUCCUGACAUCAGCAUAUGAAAGUAUUGAAUCUGGUAUUUUAUUGUGUUUUCUGUUUUAGCAGUUACAGUCAAUCCUUAUUUCACAUAUUGACCUGAGUGCUAAUUUCUACUAGCCUUAGUAGAGUUUUGUUUAGUAUUGUUAUGUAGUUAGGCCUUCAAAUAUUUGUCCAUCUCGUAUUUGUUCCAUCUUUCCCAUACGAGAACAUUGAUAUAUUGUUGAGGAUAUUCUCCAGUUGAGUUCCAGCUUUGAUUAAUUUCCAGAGUCACCAUUUACAGAGGACACUCACACCACUCUUUCAAGUUUUUAUAGAUUGCUUCCAUGCCCAGUUAUUUAGUUUUAUCCUUUCCUGAUCUUUUAUGCUAUUCAUUCUCAUAUGAUAAACUUUUGCUAAUCCUGAAUACAUUCUUGAAUCAUGCUUAUCUAUUGAAAGGACAUCAAAAUGUUGCUACAAUGAAUUAUGCAUCACUGGGUCAUAGAUAUGAAAACUCUGAUGGAUGUAGUGUUAUAUGUGGGGCUCAAACAAAACUUGAUUUGGCUGAAACUAUUAUGCUUUGCACAGGGUAGCGGACUGUUGCCCUUUAUUUCUUUAAUACUUACCUUGCAAUUCUCAGUGUUGUAACAUUAAAACUAUCAACCACAAGGCUUGAAUCAUGCUAAUUAUCUACUUGGAAUGUAUAAUAGCAUCAAAAUGACAGUUACUUCCAUGUUUGUAUUCAUCUGCUUUUUUGAAGUUUUUGCUAUGGCAUUGUCGUUUUCACUCAUCAUUUUUCCAUAUGACGCUAGGUUGCAGUUUUUUUUCUCAUCCAUUAUAUUCUUAAAUUGAUUUUGGUUCUGUUUUGCAUUGUAUUGAAGACAGUGCAUUAGAUUUGUGUACUUCAACAUGACAUAAUUUUUUUUUUUUUUGAAAUUUUAAUCAAUAUUAGAUUUGAAGACAGUGCAUUAGAUUUGUGUACUUCAUCCAUUAUAAUAAUCAGUAUUUUUUUAUUUUAUUUUUUUUUGAAAUUUUAAUUCAAAUUUUACGUGCUUGUAAAUCAAGAGUACUUUGCAUUGCAAUUAUAAUUUACAUAUCAGUCGCACUUACACUGUUGUUAUCAAUUGUCAUCUUUUUAUGUGAAAUAAAUUAUAAAGUUCUCUCUCACAAGAAGGUUACAUGUAAUAUGUUAUUCAUUUUUCUCCCUCUGUGCAAUACAUCAUGGAGCGUGAGAACUUGUCGUGCAAUCUGACAUUGUUUCAGAUUAUGCAAUGCACUUGUUUGUGCAUAUCGCAAUAGUACAUGUACUUUCUUUUAUCAUCUCUUGUUUCUAUAUUGGUUUUAUGUUGUGGUUGCCAGUUCAUAGAAAAUGGCCUAUGGUGAGGAUAUUCAGCCCUUUGUUUGUGACAAUGGAACUCGAAUGGUGAAGGUUCAUAAACAUUUUAAAAUUCUCUAGCCUUCUGUAUUCAAUUUAUUAUGUCACUAAUUUCGAGGGACUUGUUUGAUGUUACUCCUGCAGGCUGGUUUUGCCAGUGAUGAUGCUCCUGCAGAUUCGUGAUAAAUCUUUCUCUAUUUGCAUUGCCAAAAUCCAAUAAUAUGCUUAGAUUGCCAUGGAGGUGUGGACAAAAUAAGGCUAGGGUACAAUAUUAUUUCAGGUUGCUGCCCUAUUAAUGAAGAUGGUUUUUGGAAGUGAAAUUACUGUAGCAGAUGUUGAAAUUGAUGAAGAAGUUGAUGUUAUAGUUUCAGAAUGGAUGGGUUACAUGCUUCUCUAUGAGGUUAAAUCAUACGACAAAGCUACAGCUGUGCUUGUCCGGAACCAUGGAGUAUACAUAUGGGUCGAUUCUUGGAUCGGUGCUAAAACCUUUUAUUGGAUUUAAACUUUUUUUUUUUUUUUUAAACUUUCAGUUUAAACUUUAAUGU